UACGGGAGGCAGCAGUGGGGAAUAUUGCACAAUGGGCGCAAGCCUGAUGCAGCCAUGCCGCGUGUAUGAAGAAGGCCUUCGGGUUGUAAAGUACUUUCAGUCGUGAGGAAGGUGUUAAGGUUAAUAACCUUAGCAAUUGACGUUAGCGACAGAAGAAGCACCGGCUAACUCCGUGCCAGCAGCCGCGGUAAUACGGAGGGUGCGAGCGUUAAUCGGAAUUACUGGGCGUAAAGGGCACGCAGGCGGUUAAUUAAGUUGGAUGUGAAAUCCCUGGGCUUAACCUGGGAAUGGCAUUCAAGACUGGUUAGCUAGAGUCUUGUAGAGGGGGUAGAAUUCCAUGUGUAGCGGUGAAAUGCGUAGAGAUGUGGAGGAAUACCGGUGGCGAAGGCGGCCCCUGGGACAAGACUGACGCUCAUGUGCGAAAGCGUGGGGAGCAAACAGGAUUAGGAUACC
rnacentral:rRNA from 1 species